UCCUCAAUUGCAAUAAGGUUAAAUCUGUA
rnacentral:piRNA from 1 species